rnacentral:rRNA from 1 species
UUUGCAUUGGAUUGAGAACAACGUACAAACCUUAUCGAUAAACAAUUGGAGGGCAAGUCUGGUGCCAGCAGCCGCGGUAAUUCCAGCUCCAAUAGCGUAUAUUAACGUUGUUGCAGUUAAAAAGCUCGUAGUUGAAAUGAAGGGUGGUUGUGUAAUGAAUACAUUCGUGUAUUUUGUUAUUCUACUACCCUCCUUCUAAAUUCGAUAUAUGAGUAUUAAUUUACUUGUAUAUGGUUUUAGACCUUUACUGUGAGAAAAUUAGAGUGUUCAAAGCAGGCAUUUGCUUGAAUAUAUUAGCAUGGAAUAAUCAUGUAUGAUUUUCAUGAUGUAUUUGAUUGGUUUGGUUCAUGAGAAUAAGAUUAAAAGGGACAGUUGGGGGUAUUCAUAUUCAAUAGUCAGAGGUGAAAUUCUCGGAUUUAUGGAAGAUGAACAAGUGCGAAAGCAUUUACCAAGGAUGUUUUCAUUAAUCAAGAACGAAAGUUAGGGGAUCGAAGAGGAUUAGAUACCCCG